UGAAGGUUCAUGCCAAGGAUGUGGGUGGGAACACGUGAGGAUCUUUUGUGUCUUGGAGGUCGAGCAGCCAACUCCCCGGGACCAAGACUUGGGGCAGGCAGCUGGCCACUCCGCAGUAGACCAGGCAGGUAGAUCUCUUGAGGUCAAGGCCAGCCUGGUCUACAGAGUGAGUUCCAGGACAGCCAUGGGAAUAAAGGCCACACCACCGCUUUGCUGACUUGGAAUUUUUGAGGACUCCUGUCUCCACCUGGGUUUAGUGUACUCAGUGACUACAGGCUCAGUGACUUCAUGCCCAGUUUAUAAAUUCUGGAAAGCCAAGACUUCCUGUGUGCUUGACGGUGCCCCUUGGAUCUCUGCUCUCAAGCAAGGGCUCGUGGCUGAUGCUGCUUUUCCAGAACACUGCAUAAAAGCCUGGGUUUGUUUAAAACUCUAGCCCUGGGCCAGGGAGACGGCUUGGCAGGUGAAAAUCAGCAGAGCCAGCCUGUGAUCUGAAUCUGAUCUCUGAAACCCACAGAAAAAGCCAGAGUGGCCAGCACAACGGUAAUGCCAGCACAUCUGUAAUGCCACCAUGCUCACGGUGUAAAGGGAGGGCUGGCUGGACGCUCAAGAGACUGGGAAUAUAGCUCACUGGAACAGACUUGACUAGCAAGUGUGAGGCCCUGGUUCAAUCCUGAGAUCACACACACACACACACACACACACACACACACACACACACACACACACUGACUCCCACAGCUGUCUUCUGGCCUCCACAUAUGUGCUGAGGUAAACUCACAUACACAUAAAACUUCAAAACACUAGUUCCUUUGGAUUCCACAUCUUUGUCCCUGGUCCCUGUACAGUGUCUGGCACAAAGCAGGUAUUCCAGGACAGCUGGUUUGGCUUGGCCAGUGAUACUCUACUCCAGAUCGGGGAUAGAGCCAAAAGGAGGCUCCCAGAAUUCUAUGCUUGGGCCAGAUGGCUUAAAACAAACAGUUCUUCACCCCGAUGAGGGCAGAUAGCAAUUCUCCUGUGACAAUCUACUUACUGAUAUGGCUUCUUUGUCAUCAAACUGUGUCCUCGACCACACAUGCAGCUCACAUCAACUUUAGGAUCAAGUUCCAAGAAUUUAAGAGUCCUAUAAGUACAUUCUCCAACAGAGGGAGCUUAUAUAUUAGCUGCCUGACAAGCCUGACCGUCCUAUGUGAGCCAAGGAGAAAUCCUGCCAGGGUGCAUUUCAUGGUGUGUGUGUGUGUGUGUGUGUGUGUGUGUGUGUGUGUGUGUAAAGGGGGAUGAAUUACAGUGUAGAAAAAUCUCUAGGACCGGAUCUCAUUUUCAUAAAAGAUACAGCCAAACAUAAAGGGUCUAAAAAGAUAGAAGACAGAUGGAAUUUUUGAGGACAAGAGGAACCUUUGACUUCAUUUAUGGUGAGCCAGUAUUUGCUUGCAAUUUAAGGGACUCAUGAGAUGGCUCAGCAGGUAGAGAGCUCACUUCCUGCCAACCCCAAGUUUGACCCCCCCAAGGUGGAAGGAGAGAACUGACUAACCCAAGUUCUUCUCUGACCUCCACAUCUGCAUCGUGACGUGUGCGUACACGUGCGCGCGCGCGCGCGCGCACACACACACACACACACACACAUCAUAAGUAAUUAAAAAUACAUUGAAGAUUAAAGCCAUAAAAACAAAGCGAAAACUCCCAUUAAGGCCAAUAAGCAUGUGAGCUAAGCCCACAAGAUGUUCCGGAAGGAAGACCAAGGGGCUGCUGGUAUUAUGUAACUGCUCAUGUCCAGGACCCUUCCCAGGACACUAAAGGCACAGGCCGCCUGACCCCUGAGUCCCAGACUGUCUGUCUCCAGUCCUGCCUCGCUAUUCCUUUGCCAGGGAACUCAGGGAACUUUUUGUGUAGGUAGUGUCAGAAUUAGAACCCAGGGCCUCAUACUUGCUAGGAAAAUGCCCUAAAACUAGCUGUCAUAUGGUCUUAGAGCUAAAAAUUGUACAGAGCCCUGAGAGAAAGAAUGGGCUGAUGCUACCCCUCUAGCUGGAGGAAGAAAGUGGGAGCACUGAGGGUGGACAGCCAGAGCCCUGGGAAGUCCAGGCUGUACGCUGGAGCUUUUCCAACUCCUGGACGCAGGACAAGAGAAAUGUAUUAGGGUUGUUUACCCUGUUGCUUGGGACUCAGAGAAUCUCAGCUGAGGAACAGCUGAGAGGCCGGUGACUAAGCUCCCAUCCCUGGGCAUCCGUCUGUAGGACACUUCACACUCUCUCACCCGCCUCCCACCGCCCCUCCUCUCAGAAGGGACAGCUGAGCCUUCUCUGGUGGACUGGGGAGGGGAACUGAGGCUAAAGAGGUUAGGCACGAGGUCCUGGCACCCAAGCGGAAAAUGAGCCAUGCUGGCAAGAACCCAGUGUGUGCUUGUGCUGCCGGGGAUAAGGAUGGUUGGUGGCACUUGCUCCCUUCAUGUAGCCUGUAUGAAAUCUGAGGUAAAGCUUACAGAUUCUUCUCUUAUUCUUCUACUCUGAGGCUCUGCUUUGACAUCUACCACAGCCUGGCCCAAGUACAAACCAGGCAAUAAAUCAGGCUUAUUCACAUUCCAGCCAGAAUCAUUCCAAAAGCCCAGGGCAGCCAUGACAGCAGAGCCAGGGUCUGCUCUACAUGGAGGGCGCCCAGGGCCUGCUGCACCUGGGUGAUCUCAUUACUUGGGUCUCUUUCCUUUGAGACCAGGACAUAAACCAGUUAUUUACCCUGUGGGCAGUCCUCUAACCCCCUAAAAAAACCAAAAUAACCAAACCAAACAAAGUCACAACCCACCUCAAACAAAAUCCCCAAAACGAUCCACAUAAAUUCCAACCCUUAGUCUUUUUGGUGAGGAACAAGCUGGCUCCCAGCAGAGGAGCGGGGACUUCCAAAGCAGGGUUUGAGACGGACGCCGAGGAGCAGAGCUGACACUACCACUGAGGCUUGUGGAUCUGCGUUCCCAUCUGGGCUGGGACAGUCCUGCAGGAAGAAGCCUCAGGCUCUAGGGCUACCUGGGUGGCAGUGGGCAAGCCACAGGGGAGGUGACUCCCUUCCUGUGGUGUAUCAUGACCUUCAGACAAGGACUCUCCUUUUCCUUUCUCUCUUCAAAGCUAUGGUCUGUGACAAAUUUGGAUUUGAACCUGAUUUAACCACCAGCAUAGGUUCUUUUUUUUUUUUUUUUUUUUGGUUCUUUUUUUCGGAGCUGGGGACCGAACCCAGGGCCUUGCGCUUCCUAGGUAAGCGCUCUAUCACUGAGCUAAAUCCCCAGCCCCCCAGCAUAGGUUCUUAAUGUCUGCCUGGGCCACCUUUCCACAUCAUUCUGCCUGUCUUGGACCACAAUGCACCUGGCCAGUGGGAGGCAGGUUUAACUUCCAGUGUUUAGCCUCCUCUCCGGAGACACCUGACAGGUGAUAGCUACUGUUCUAUCACUCAGCUCUAUGGCAUGAGGGUUUUUGUUCAGCACGAGUUGCCUGUGAACUCAAACAUCUCCCAGGCCUGGACUUGCCCCUACAGGCCCUGGUGUCUGUCCUCAGCGGUCAGGGCUGUAUCCAGACCCGAGCUGCGUGCUCCUGUACUGCCUCUCACAGACAUGCAUACCAAGGGCAGCAAUCAGGCCAGGCCACGUGACAGACCAGACCGCUCCCUUCCAACUCCAGCUGACCCAAGAGCAGCGAGCGUGCCAACCAUCAGGGCAGAGCCCAGGAUACCCCAUGACUGUUGCUGACUGAAAGCUGAAGUGGAAUGCAGCAGCCCGUGUGACUUCCCUUUUGGCUCUCUGGAAUUAUGUCUACUAUUUAAUUUUUUUUUCUGAGUCAGGGUCUCACAGUGUAGUCCAGUCUGGCCUACAGUCCAUGACCAUCCUCUUGCCCUAGCCUCCCCAGUGCUGGGAACUUGGGUGCGAGCCCAGCGGGGUAUCGUCUUGGCAUACCUUUUUGACAGCACACUGGAAGCCUGUCUGCUUGUCCUUCAUUCUGUGGACUUCGCCGAAGGACCCUCUGCCCACCCGAGGCUGGUGUGUCAUCCAGUGGACCUCUUCCCGGUACUCAUAAUCCACUGGUUUGAGUUUCUGAGGUUGAAGAGCAAGAGGUCAGUUUCAGUGACCUGGGCAGCAGGGGGACAAAGGGCUACAGUGGGGAAAGAUCUCCAGCCACCAGCUAGGGCUCUGGUGGCCAAAUGGACACAUCCAAAGAUACCACCAGCCUUAUGGUGGGAUGACAAGGGAGACAGCCAAAACCGGUUCAGAGGAUAAGAAGACAAAGGUGGGGCUGGAGAGAUGGCUCAGUGGCUAAGAGCACUGACUGCUCUUCCAGAGAUCCUGAGUUCAAUUCCCAGCAACCACAUGGUGGCUCACAACCAUCUGUAAUGGGAUCUGAGGCCCUCUUCUGGCCUGCAGGCAGAGUGCUGUAUACUUAGGAAAAAAAAAAAAAAAGACAAAGGUGACCUUCACCGGCUGCCCGGGGGGUGGGUGGGGUGGGCAGAUAGCUCCUGUGAGGAGAAGCAGAACCACCAACACCUUCAAAAUAGAACACAUAACUCAAUAACUAGAGGUUGAAGAGACAGGAGCAAGCACAGGGUUAAAAGUGAAUAGAAUCGGUGGCUGGAGAGAUGGCUCAGCGGUUAAGAGCACUGGCUGCUCUUCCAGAGGUCCUGAGUUCAGUUCCCAGCAACCACAUGGUGGCUCAUGGCCAUCUGUAAUGGGAUCCCAUGCCCUCUUCUGGUGUGUCUACGGUAUAUUCACAUACGUAAAAUAAAGUAAAACCUCUUUUAAAAAA